AUGCUCGUUUCGGCAGCACAUAUACUAAAAAUGGAACAAUACAGAGAAGAUUAGCAUGUCGCCUCAGCACUUUGGGAGGCUGAGAUGGGAGGAUCACUAGAAUCCA
rnacentral:snRNA from 1 species